UACGUAGGGUGCAGGCGUUAUUCGGAAUUACUGGGCGUAAAGCGUGCGCAGGCGGUUUGCUAAGUGAGAUGUGAAAUCCCCGGGCUUAACCUGGGAACUGCGUUUCUAACUGGCAGGCUUGAGUGUGGCAGAGGGGGGUGGAAUUCCACGUGUAGCAGUGAAAUGCGUAGAGAUGUGGAGGAACACCGAUGGCGAAGGCAGCCCCCUGGGCUAACACUGACGCUCAGGCACGAAAGCGUGGGGAGCAAACAGG
rnacentral:rRNA from 1 species